GAGUUCAGCGCAUGCCUUGACUGAAGGCUACAUUCUAGUGUGCAGUGGUGACUACAGCUAGAGCUGUUUGGAGCUGCAUAAGGUCAUCUGGAGGAGGCAGGUGUAGAAGCCAACAACACCAGACCUUGUGUGAAACCAUCCAGGGUGCAGGGAGUGCCUUGACUGAAGGCUACAUUCUAGUGUGCAGUGGUGACUACAACUUCAGCUGUUUGGAGCUGCAUUGGUAGAUCUUGAGGAUGCAGCUAUAGAAGUCAACAACAGCAGACAUUGUGUGAGAACCAUCCAGGGUGCAGGGAGUGCCUUGACUGAAGGCUACAUUCUAGUGUGCAGUGGUGACUACAAGUGGAGCUGUUUGGAGCUGCAUUAAUAGAUCUGGAGGAUGCAGGUGUAGAAGUCAACAAAGGCAGACCCUUGUUCAGCCAGAACAAUCAAAGUUGACAAAUUACACCUUUUUACAAAUUUGCCUUGACUCAAGCACCCAAAUGUAUUUGUAAAAAGCGUUGACGGACUUAGCUAUUCAAUUUGCCCUAUCAUUGAAGAACAAAGUAAUGCCUCAAAUGAAGCAGAUUUUAUUUUAGAUGAAUGCUCUCCCAUUUCAAGACGUUUUAUGUGUUUUUCUUGGCUCUCAAAUCUGCCAUUUUUGUAAGUUUAAACAGAAGUGAAAAUUGUUGUUAUCUCCCAUCAUGCAUGAAGGUCGACUAUCGCAUCAAGGUUGACCAUUAACUUUGAACUGCUCAUAACAUGACAGAUAUUCUGGAAGCAGUUGCUGAAUCAAUAUUUACUAAUCUGUUUGUGUUUCAGCAUUUAAAAAUGGCACCCUCUUUCCUGCAUGAAACAAUAGUUAUCAGUUGGUCUUGCAAUAAAUGAAAGACAAACGGUA